UACAGAGGGUGCGAGCGUUAAUCGGAAUUACUGGGCGUAAAGGGCGCGUAGGCGGAUAUAUAAGUUAUGUGUGAAAUCUCUGGGCUUAACCUGGGAACUGCACAUAAUACUGUAUGUCUAGAGUAGAGUAGAGGAAAGUGGAAUUUCCGGUGUAGCGGUGAAAUGCGUAGAUAUCGGAAGGAACACCAGUGGCGAAGGCGGCUUUCUGGACUCAUACUGACGCUGAGGCGCGAAAGCGUGGGGAGCAAACAGG
rnacentral:rRNA from 1 species